GGAGGAUGCAAGCGUUAUCCGGAUUCAUUGGGUUUAAAGGGUGCGUAGGCGGCCUUUUAAGUCAGUGGUGAAAUCCUGCCGCUUAACGGUAGAAUUGCCAUUGAUACUGAAAGGCUUGAGUACAUUUGAGGUAAGCGGAAUGUGUAGUGUAGCGGUGAAAUGCUUAGAUAUUACACAGAACACCAAUUGCGAAGGCAGCUUACUAAACUGUUACUGACGCUGAUGCACGAAAGCGUGGGGAGCGAACAGGAUUAGAUACCCUGGUAGUCCACGCCGUAAACGAUGUUCACUCGCUGUUUGCGAUACACAGCAAGCGGCCAAGCGAAAGCAUUAAGUGAACCACCUGGGGAGUACGAUCGCAAGGUUG
rnacentral:rRNA from 1 species